rnacentral:rRNA from 1 species
UACAGAGGGUGCUAGCGUUAAUCGGAUUUAUUGGGCGUAAAGGGUGCGUAGGUGGUAAAGCAAGUAAGAUGUGAAAGCCCCGGGCUCAACCUGGGAAGUGCAUCUUAAACUGCUUAACUAGAGUACAGUAGAGGGUAGUGGAAUUUCCGGUGUAGCGGUGAAAUGCGUAGAGAUCGGAAGGAACGCCAGUGGUGAAGACGACUACCUGGACUGAUACUGACACUGAGGCACGAAAGCGUGGGGAGCAAACAGG